UCAUCUCCGGGGGUAGAGCACUGUUUCGGCAAGGGGGUCAUCCCGACUUACCAACCCGAUGCAAACUGCGAAUACCGGAGAAUGUUAUCACGGGAGACACACGGCGGGUGCUAACGUCCGUCGUGAAGAGGGAAACAACCCAGACCGCCAGCUAAGGUCCCAAAGUCAUGGUUAAGUGGGAAACGAUGUGGGAAGGCCCAGACAGCCAGGAUGUUGGCUUAGAAGCAGCCAUCAUUUAAAGAAAGCGUAAUAGCUCACUGGUCGAGUCGGCCUGCGCGGAAGAUGUAACGGGGCUAAACCAUGCACCGAAGCUGCGGCAGCGACGCUUAUGCGUUGUUGGGUAGGGGAGCGUUCUGUAAGCCUGUGAAGGUGUGCUGUGAGGCAUGCUGGAGGUAUCAGAAGUGCGAAUGCUGACAUAAGUAACGAUAAAGCGGGUGAAAAGCCCGCUCGCCGGAAGACCAAGGGUUCCUGUCCAACGUUAAUCGGGGCAGGGUGAGUCGACCCCUAAGGCGAGGCCGAAAGGCGUAGUCGAUGGGAAACAGGUUAAUAUUCCUGUACUUGGUGUUACUGCGAAGGGGGGACGGAGAAGGCUAUGUUGGCCGGGCGACGGUUGUCCCGGUUUAAGCGUGUAGGCUGGUUUUCCAGGCAAAUCCGGAAAAUCAAGGCUGAGGCGUGAUGACGAGGCACUACGGUGCUGAAGCAACAAAUGCCCUGCUUCCAGGAAAAGCCUCUAAGCAUCAGGUAACAUCAAAUCGUACCCCAAACCGACACAGGUGGUCAGGUAGAGAAUACCAAGGCGCUUGAGAGAACUCGGGUGAAGGAACUAGGCAAAAUGGUGCCGUAACUUCGGGAGAAGGCACGCUGAUAUGUAGGUGAGGUCCCUCGCGGAUGGAGCUGAAAUCAGUCGAAGAUACCAGCUGGCUGCAACUGUUUAUUAAAAACACAGCACUGUGCAAACACGAAAGUGGACGUAUACGGUGUGACGCCUGCCCGGUGCCGGAAGGUUAAUUGAUGGGGUUAGCGCAAGCGAAGCUCUUGAUCGAAGCCCCGGUAAACGGCGGCCGUAACUAUAACGGUCCUAAGGUAGCGAAAUUCCUUGUCGGGUAAGUUCCGACCUGCACGAAUGGCGUAAUGAUGGCCAGGCUGUCUCCACCCGAGACUCAGUGAAAUUGAACUCGCUGUGAAGAUGCAGUGUACCCGCGGCAAGACGGAAAGACCCCGUGAACCUUUACUAUAGCUUGACACUGAACAUUGAGCCUUGAUGUGUAGGAUAGGUGGGAGGCUUUGAAGUGUGGACGCCAGUCUGCAUGGAGCCGACCUUGAAAUACCACCCUUUAAUGUUUGAUGUUCUAACGUUGACCCGUAAUCCGGGUUGCGGACAGUGUCUGGUGGGUAGUUUGACUGGGGCGGUCUCCUCCUAAAGAGUAACGGAGGAGCACGAAGGUUGGCUAAUCCUGGUCGGACAUCAGGAGGUUAGUGCAAUGGCAUAAGCCAGCUUGACUGCGAGCGUGACGGCGCGAGCAGGUGCGAAAGCAGGUCAUAGUGAUCCGGUGGUUCUGAAUGGAAGGGCCAUCGCUCAACGGAUAAAAGGUACUCCGGGGAUAACAGGCUGAUACCGCCCAAGAGUUCAUAUCGACGGCGGUGUUUGGCACCUCGAUGUCGGCUCAUCACAUCCUGGGGCUGAAGUAGGUCCCAAGGGUAUGGCUGUUCGCCAUUUAAAGUGGUACGCGAGCUGGGUUUAGAACGUCGUGAGACAGUUCGGUCCCUAUCUGCCGUGGGCGCUGGAGAACUGAGGGGGGCUGCUCCUAGUACGAGAGGACCGGAGUGGACGCAUCACUGGUGUUCGGGUUGUCAUGCCAAUGGCACUGCCCGGUAGCUAAAUGCGGAAGAGAUAAGUGCUGAAAGCAUCUAAGCACGAAACUUGCCCCGAGAUGAGUUCUCCCUGACCCUUUAAGGGUCCUGAAGGAACGUUGAAGACGACGACGUUGAUAGGCCGGGUGUGUAAGCGCAGCGAUGCGUUGAGCUAACCGGUACUAAUGAACCGUGAGGCUUAACCUU
rnacentral:rRNA from 1 species